GACGAACGCUGGCGGCGUGCUUAACACAUGCAAGUCGAACGAAGUGGCGAACGGGUGAGUACUACGUGAGUAACCUGCCCUCCUUUUUGGGAUAAGCCUUGGAAACGGGGUCUAAUACCGGAUAAAGGGGGCUGGGCUCGCGGCCUAUCAGCUUGUUGGUGGGGUGAUGGCGUACCAAGGCGGUGACGGGUAGCCGGCGUGAGGGGGUGGACGGGCACAUAGGGACGGCGCAGCGUCCUAGACGCGUAAGGGGGGCAGCAGUGGGGGAAAUUGCACAAUGGGUGAAAGCGUGAUGCAGCGACGCCGCAUGGGGGAUGAAGGCUUUAGGGUUGUAAACCUCUUUCGGUAUCGAAAGGGUAGGUGGAGAAGAAGCGCCGGCUAACUACGUGCCAGCAGCCGCGGUAAUUC
rnacentral:rRNA from 1 species